UUUCUUAAAGUGAAUAGUUUCAUAUUAUAUUUUCGUUAUAAAGAAGACUUUAGUCUAGGAAAG
rnacentral:tRNA from 1 species